rnacentral:lncRNA from 1 species
UUCCUGAGAGGAGCUCGCCUCGGCCCCUUGGUUGGGGGGAUGGGAGCGUCUCCGGAAGGCCCUCGGCCGAGCAGCUGGGCCUGCACCCCUGGUCCCUUCCAGUUCGUUUCUGCUGCGGCGGCAAGAGGCUGGGGAGCCGAUGACUCACCCUGCCGGCUAAUUGCAGCGUUAAAUAACUUUGCGCCGGAUUCGGUGGCUGCAGCAGGGAACGCGCUCCGGGCGCCGGGGGAGGUGGAGGGACGCCCUGAGAACGCACCUCCGUCCCUGUCACCAGCCUUAGCAAGUUCUGGCCUGUGGAGCCGUCAUCCAGAGCGCACAGCUUCAUGCCCUUGAAGGGCGCAGUGUGUCCCGUGGUGCCCGGUGGGCCCGGACAGAGACCCCAGAGGCUCUGUCUGAAGGAAGCUGCACCCACAGACUCCAUCCAGGCAGCGCGGGCGCGGUCCUGUCGCCUACCUUUCUCGGAAGCCAUCUGCCCAUGUGAAUCUAUGUGAAGGCCCUUCAUGCGCUCCUGGACAUCUGCGUGGGAUUUACUUCAACUGCUAUCGCUGCGAGGAGGACGAGCAUGUUUCACUGUAUUUUUAGCAGAGAGUGCAGAUUUUAGAACCUCGCGAACGGUCCUGUAUCUCCUGCACGAUGACUCUCCAGAACAGGAAUAGUGACCCUUCCUUUGCAUUUAUGGUGCAUAGGUUUUCAAAGGACAGUGUGUAAAUCAGCUUGUGUAAUAAUUGUGGCACCCACGCGCGCAAGCAGACUUACCAUGAGCUGACUUCCACUGAUUAUUUCAGUUUCCAGGGAAACGAGGUUUGCAGCCCCCUCCAGUGAGGGCGGAGCGGCCUCUCCAUUCCCAAUGCAGCAAGGCUGCUGCAGCCACGAUGAUUAGGCUUUGGAGGAGGAAGUGAACGGAUGGGGCCUCAUCCUCCUGCCUCCCUAAAGGGUGAGGGUGGAAGGAUGGGGCUGUGCCCUCUUAGGGCAGGGAAAAACAGCUUGGAGGGGUUUCUGCCAUCAGAGAUCCCAUAGGAGGCAGGUCAGUCCUGCAGAAUUUCUCCCCAGUCUGGCCUCCAGCCUCCCUGGCCCCUUUCUAGAGGCCUCCAUCCCACUGGCGGCUUGCUCCUGCCACCGGGCCUCUGCACAGUCACCUCCUGCAGCCUGGGGUGUGUCGCCUCUCCACGUCCUCACCGGCGUCUGCCUUUGCAUUUCCCAGAUGCUCGCUUCACCCCACUGAGAUGUAACUCAGUUUUGUGGGAUCCCACUGCCCUCCAGGUGCCGCUCCGAGUGCUCUACACAGAUUUUCAUUCAGUCCUUGCGGCACACGAAGGACAAGUCCCAGGUGGCCUUGGAAUGAACAAGCCCCUCCCUUCUCACGCGUACUUCUCGAGAAUACCUGAAGAAUGUGCCAGGAAUGCAACCACCUGGUCUAGGGAAGGACCGGCCGGACAGCCCUGGCUCUGCUCCUGUGCCUCCUAGGGCAGGAUGUCCCACACACUGUAGCCCUAUGAGUCACCCCUGGCUAUGGAACCCAGAGCAGAGUGCACCUUUGGGAUCUCUCAGCUGUGGUGUGAAGCGGGACACACAUAGACAAGGCUCCAUUCGUUCUGGGCAGCUUUCCCGAGCCUCGGGGACCCGCUCACCAUGGAUCCUAAGCUUCUGCUGUUCCCUGCUGCCUGCCUGUG